GAUUAUGUGCUACUUUAUUAGUUGAAGUCUCUUUGUUCGGUUAGUUCUCUAAAACAAAACCAUUUCUCCUGGUGUGUAUGUUUCUUGGCAACAUUUGGUGUAAUACUAAUCUUCCAGAGAUUGUUGUAAGAAAUAACUAUAAUUAGUAUCUUUAUCUCAUCAAUGGGCUAAUUCUAUAAAAAGAACUAAUAAGGAGAUUUCUUAGCAGUACUGUAUAUGUUUGGAGCAAUGAGGUAAUUUUAUCCUAUGUUACUUUCUUUCUCUUGCAUUUCCUAAUUUUGUUUUCCACUCCAUUUUUUUAGGUUCCAAAGUUUGGCCACAACUAGCUUGAUUCGGAGACAUUUCAUAUUAGGAGUUAAACUUUGGUUUGCAGGCAUUGAGCUUUGCCAGUAACUAGCUUUGUUACUUGGUAUACUUCUGUCAGCAUUCAGGAGCCCCGUAGUUGUGUAGUGGGUCGCGGGAGAGGCAGCCGGUGAGUGCGAGCUGGACGGGAAAGUGAUGUCUACGAUGGCGAACCAUGCCGGCGGGCAGGGCAGGGUCGACGCUCUAAAUGUAUUGCCUGACAGCUUGUCUUAGUCUUAAUAAAAGUGCAUAUCUGCAGCAUCCUUUCAUUUAUUUGGCAUAUCCUACUUUAAAAAAUAUCCUUGACUCGCAUCGAUUUCAAAUAACUGAAGUAUCUUCUCUGCUCAUGUUUCCACAUAAAGCCCAAUCAUGUAUAUGUACUGAUGGCAGCAUGCAUUCCAAGUUAGAGAGGUUCCAAUGCUUUCCUUUUUUCACAUCCGUACUUAUCUUCUUGUAUUGUUUAGCAACGAGAUCAAUAGUAGCACUUGGCCAGAAUAUGAAUUUUUAGUGCUUCUGAAUUUCAAUGACAAGUGGUACUGAAUUUUAACUAA